AGUUCUUCCACCCCACCCCCUCUCCUACUCGUCGUCAAAUAUGAAUUGGCUUGAUUGACAUUGCCGCCGGUGGCUGCAAAACCCUGUCGGUCGUCUCCGGCAAAGUCGACCUUCAACUUCCUUAUCGGUAAACAAUGGAUCAAUCUUUUCUGCUGAUGCUAACAAAUCUUCUUCACCUCCACAACCACCUUGACCCCACCACCUCUCUUCUCUCCGAUUCCACAUCAUCCUACUCUUCCUCCGUUGCUUCACCCACCUCCCCUACUUCCCUCCUCACCUCCACAUCCGCCGCACCUCUCCUCUUCUUCACCAUCGCAUCCGUUCUCUCCUAUCUCGCUACCCACCCACACAAGAAAAAACCCAAAACUUCCACUUCUUCACCUAACAAUAACCCCUCUUCACCAUCGCCCGCAGCCGCCGAAUUCUCCGUCUCCGCUUUUCGUGCCCUCUCCACUGAACAUAUUUGGGCUAUGGAAGCUCCUCUCCGUGACGCUCAGUGGCGUUCCCUUUACGGACUUUCGUAUCCCGUUUUCACCACCGUUGUUGAUAAGCUGAAACCUUACAUUACCCAGUCCCAACUCUCUCUACCUUCUGAUUACGCCGUUGCUAUGGUACUUUCUAGACUCUUCCACGGCUUUUCUGCUAAAACCCUAGCUACCCGUUAUGGUCUUGAACCUUACCUGAUCUCUAAAAUUACUAACAUGGUCACCCGCCUCUUGGCUACUAAGCUUUACCCGGAGUUUAUCAAGAUUCCGGUGAGUCGACGGCGUCUUGUGGAGACCACUCAGGGGUUUCAAGAACUGACUUCACUCCCCAAUAUAUGUGGAGCUAUUGAUGGAACGGCCGUGAGGUUGCAGCAUCUUCCGUCGGAAACCGUAAACUCGUCUAUGUACUAUAGCCGAUAUGGGUUCCCAUCCAUAUUGCUUCAGGUUGUUGCUGAUCACAAGAAGCUCUUUUGGGAUGUUUGUGUGAAAGCCCCAGGUGGAUUUGAUGAUGCUACGCAUUUUAGAGAUAGUCUGUUGUAUAAUAGGUUGAUUUCUGGUGAUAUUGUUUGGGACAAAGGGGUUAAUGUUAGAGGAGAACAUGUGAGGCCAUACAUUGUUGGGGAUUGGUGUUUUCCUUUGUUGUCGUUUUUGCUGACUCCAUUUUCUGGGAAUAGGACUGGCUCACCUGCUGAGAAUGCCUAUGAUGAAGCCUUGUUGAAGGGGAGGAAGAUGGUUGAGGAAGCUAUAGGUUUGUUGAAAGGAAGGUGGAAAAUUCUUCAGAAUUUGAAUGUGGGACUAAGUCAUGCACCCCAAACUGUUGUUGCUUGUUGUGUAUUGCACAACUUGUGUCAGAUUGCGAGGGAGCCAGAGCCAGAGCUUUGGAGGGAGCCAGAAGAGAAUGGUUCCCCUCCAAGGGUGUUAGAGAAUGAGAAGUCUUUCUAUUAUUAUGGUGGAAGCGCGAGGCAGGCCUUGGCUGAUGAUAUAUAUCAACGGCUCUCUUCAAGAUGAGAGAAGUUUGCAGAAGGAUGCUUGCUUUGAUGUAAGGAUAAUUUUACUUGUUAAUUCUAGUUUUUGGUUCGUGCUAGCUAAUAUUGCUCUUUGACAAUGAAUAGCAAUGUACUGAGUAUUCACAAUAGAUUGCUUCCAGUGUGAAAUAAUUCUACUGCUUUCUAACUCUGCUAUCUGAAAGAAAUAGAAAGAUUUACUUGUCUCUGAUUGAUGAGCACAUAUAUAUGCAUCCGCUGCUUGGC